AAAGGAAAAACAAGAACAAAACCUAGGUGGAGGAUUUCAAGAGAAAAAGUGUGGAAAAUCAAGGAAAACAAGUGGAAAAAGGUAGGAUUUUUCAAUUUAAACUUGAAAUCUAUUUUCCUUAAGCAUUUCUCCUUAUUUUUCAUGGUUAAAUUACAUAUUUUCAUGAUGAAUUCAUGGCUGGUCAAAAUAAGUAUGGAGAGAGAAAGAUGUUAGAUUGAUUUGAUUCUAAGUUAUGUUAAUGUUUUUAGUUAGUUUAGCAUAUUUAGAAACAAAACAACAAGAAAAUAAUCCAUUUUCCCUAUGAACCUUCAAUGGCCGAACCCUAUGUGAAGUGUAGAAGUAAUGAAUUGAUUUUGUGAUCAAGUGAAUUGGUUGAAAAAUUGAUGAAAUGAUGAUUUAUGGUGAGAAAAUGGAAUGGGAAAAUUUUUAGUGAUAGUGCACCACAAUGGCCGAAAUUUUCAAGAAGAAUUGUGAGGGUUGUUAGGCUGAAUUUUAGAUUAUUGGAAUUGUAUUUAGUGAAUUGAAAUAUUAGAAAUGAAAUGGAGCAAUUUGGAGCCAAAUCGNNNNNNNNNNNNNNNNNNNNGAAUUUUAAAUUAUUGGAAUUGUAUUUAGUGAAUUGAAAUAUUAGAAAUGAAAUGGAGCAAUUUGGAGCCAAAUCGGACAUAAUUAUCACUUAAUCGGGUAAUAGGCCAAAUUAGGUCAGCGCCGCAUUUAAGCGGUAGUCGUAUAAGUUGCAUAUUAUAUCAUGCAUAUACAUCGAGCUUGAAUUGAUUUUAUAAUGGUCAAGCAUUGAUGUGGUGAAUUAUGUAUUGUACAUUGUGGAUAAGUGGUGAGUAAAUUGCAUUGGUAAAAGCACAAAGAUUGUGCUUGAAGACUGGGAUUAGGAGUACAUCGACUCUGAGAACUGUGAGUAAACUUAUUAUCAUCUUAAUUAUCUAAAGUAGUUUUAUACAAUUGUGUGAUUUUAUAGAAAAUGGGUUUAAAUGGUAAAUUGCUAUGUUUUAGGAGAAAUUGUGAUUUUAUAAAAUGAUUUUAUAAAUUUUCUGGAAAAUUGAAUACUGGUUUUGAAAAUAGAGUAAUUGGAGACUACCUGCUUGUGUUAUAAUUUGUGUUUUAAAUUAUAUGGCUUAUAGUAAUAUGUGAGCAUGAAUGGCAAAGUCGGUAUUUGUAUCAAAAUUAUAUAUACUAUGUAUUCAGCCUUGAGAGGCUAGAUUGUGAUAAAUUGCCAUGUCAUGAAGAAAAAGACUUUAUAAAUCAAGUGGUAGAUAAAAUAAUCCAUAAUCCUUGCAGUGGAGGUUUUGUGGACCAGCCGAAGAGAGGGGGCACAAAAUCAGAUAUACCUUACCUCGAUCAGAGAGCCGUGUGGAGGGUUUCUCUAGAGGUAAAGAUUUGAGUGCACUUCACGUGGACCACUGCGUGAGAGUGAGACUCAGCCAACGCUAAGGCAUGGCUAGAAUUUCGGAUGUGAAGACAUUUAACCGCCUUAGUGGUCUCGGUCAGAUGCUUAAGCCAAGGCAUCCCUGGGAAUGAUUUUUGGCAGGAGCCAAGUUUUGUGAGAUAUAUAAGCCAUGUUGAUUAAUUGAGUAAACUGAAUAUCCAUGUUAUGAAACAUAUAUUGGAAAAGAAUAGUUUAAUUCGUCUCCAUUUACUCGCCUUUAAAUAGUUUAGAUGGUGUUUGUUUACUCACUGAGAUUAUGUAAUCUCACCCCUCUUCCUAUCCAAUUUUCAAGUUCAGGAUAGUUUGUUGAUAGUUGAUUAAGACGAGAAUUAAUCUCGGAGUUGCAUCCUUAGAAAGUAAGAGUUCGUAGCCCUACACCUUCUUGGUCAAUUGGGG
rnacentral:lncRNA from 1 species